AUUGAACGCUGGCGGCAGGCCUAACACAUGCAAGUCGAGCGGCUGAACAGAGCUUGCUCCUGCUUUCAGCUGCGGACGGGUGGGUAGUGCCUAGGAAUCUGCCUGUCUACUUUUGCGAAGGUCCGGACGCGGGCACUAAUACCGCAUACGUCCUGACGGCGUACGUGGGAGAGCUUCGGACCUCCCGCUCUCGCACGAUCGUAGGACCGGAUGUCGGAUUAGCUAGUUGGGGGGGUAAAGGCCCACCAAGGCGACGAUCCGUAACUGGUCUGAGAGGAUGAUCAGUCACACUGGAACUGAGACACGGUCCAGACUCCUACGGGAGGCAGCAGUGGGGAAUAUUGGACAAUGGGCGAAAGCCUGAUCCAGCCAUGCCGCGUGUGUGAAGAAGGUCUUCGGAUUGUAAAGCCCUUUUAGUGGGGAGGAAAGGCAGCAGGUUAAUACCUCGCUGUUCUGACGUUACCCACAGAAUAAGCACCGGCUAACUUCGUG
rnacentral:rRNA from 1 species